CAUACACAUGCGUAUAUGUGUUGAUUUCUAUCUACGCCUACUAAAAUACUUCAGUCACAUUCCAACAGUCAAUAACAUCGGACGCAUAUUCCAGUGUGACUCCUGGACCAUUAAUUUUUCUAGUAAAUUCAUAGAGUUUUUAUUCUAUGGAUGGGAUAUCAAUUUUCCAUCGACCCAUUCAAUUCGAACAACAUAUUGAAUUCGAAUGGAAUGCGUGGAAAAAAAAUGAAUUCUAAUUUAAAAAAGCAAAAAGGUUGAAAGGGUCGGUUUUAAAGAUCUACCAGGUCUUGAACACAAACGAAUGAGUACUGUUAGCAUGUUAGUAUAAUUAAUAGCUAACCUAGUGAGAUCAACGUGGGAAGCUGAUUUUUGAGCUAUUUACAACUUAACAUACAAAAUUGUUCUUACUUCACUAGGUUUUGAACUCACAACCGUGUGCAUUCAAAGCCGUUGACUAGACAUUUCGACCAUUUUAUCCUCGAGUUGUGCACAAACUAAAUGUAUAUUCGAAUAUUUAAGCAUAACACAGCAAUAAAUCAUCGAAUAGAACGUCAAAAAUUGUCCACUUCAUAAUCAAUGCAAAAUAAUUUCUGUCAUAGAUACCCAUCGGCUACAUUAAUGAUGUUAAUAAAGUGCAUUUUUUAUUGAAAA